rnacentral:misc_RNA from 1 species
UUGAAAUAAUCUGUGGGUGCUGUGCUGGCCUUUCGAGGCACUGUGCACGCACUUGCAAUUAUCAUUUAUCUCUUGUGAACCUAGUGUAGUCGUUGGCUUGUAGGGGAAACCCUGCUUGUGAGCGACUAUGAUUUUAUAUACCUAUUAUCAGUCCUAGAAUGUUACUUUAUUGACUGCAAAGUCAGUAAAUCAUAUA